UGGUUGAAUUUGUUAAUGAUUCUAGAUCACAGCCUCUUCAGAUAUUGGCCUCUUCAGAAAUGCUUGGCAGUGGAAUUGCCAUCUACCUUGAAUGCCAGGUUGGAAUCUGCCCAGACUCUCAAUAAGAGAGCACUUCCAAACACUCUGCCCAGGCUCCCUUAUCUAAGAUCCUCUCUUCAAAAAGUGGGUAGAAGGUGGGGAGAUGGGGGAGGCAGGGAGUGGGGAAGGGUAGUGGUGGGGCGUUUGCCACUGCUGAACUUCAACUUUCCCGCUUGACUAUCUUCUUCUCCCACAGAGAAGAAAGAAAGAAUUGCGACUGAAGUUUCAAGAUACCCUAAGUUUUCCUUCUCUAGUCUGUAGCCUCCUUCUUGUCUCUCAGUUUGCCCCCUUCUUUCUUUUCACCAUUGCUCACACCCUUGGCUUUCCUGUUUCUGUUUUUUUUUUUUUUUUUUUUUUUUUUUGUCCUUAGAUCUUAAACCACCGGGCCUCUGGAUCAAAUGGCAGACUCCUUUAGAGGAAAAUGGGAUAUUUGUUCUGGGACCAGAGAGGUAACCUGCAGGCUCUAAUAGUUGCUGAGGAAAAGGAGCAACAUGUUCACCUGGAUGAUUCCAAAUGGCCUACUCUGGUUUAAGUUUAUUCUCAAGUGAGGAGCACCUCUGCCCAGCCGCCCCACCAUCUGGGAAGUGUGGAGCGCCUCUGCCUGGAGCCCAGCUGUCUGGAAAGUGAGGAGCUCCUCUGCCCGGUCGCCAACCUGUCUGGGAAGUGAGGAGCGACUCUCCUUGGUCGCCACAAUGUCUGGGAAGUGAGGAGUGUCUCUGCCUGGCCGCUCCAUUGUCUGGGAAGCGAGGAGCGCCUCUGCCUGGCCGCCCCACUGUCUGGGAAGCGAGGAGCGCCUCUGCCUGGCCGCCCCACUGUCUGGGAAGUGAGGAGCGCCUCUGCCUGAUCGCCCCACCAUCGGGGAAGUGAAAAGCCCCUCCCCCUGGCCCGCGCCUCCCGCCAGCCGCAGCACCAUCUGAGAAGUGAGGAGAGCCUUUGCCCGGCUGCUGUGCAACCCUCCAAGUGUGAAGUGGCAGCCCUGUGUGUGAUCUUUCUGCCCUCCCCAAGUUUGCAUUUUCAAUAUUAAAGUUUACUUUUAAAUUAGAAGUUUUAAAUUGCAGAAUUAUAUUUUUAGAAAAGUUUAUUCUCUUGAUUCAUAACUUUGAAAUAUCUAGACGUAUGGUACAUGUCACGCCAUUUCUGCUCUUUCCUGCACCUCCCAAAUGUUUUAGUUGUAGCCAAAGUACACAAAUCUAAGAAGAUCCAAAUGAUCAUCCUCACAUUGACGGGUUCCUAGGCAGAGUAGGACUUUGGAAGACAGAUGGGUUUGUCUACAGCCCACCUAUCCAAUGUGUAAUAAAAAGAAGAACAUAUACUUCAUAACUUGAAAAGGGGUGUUACAAAGGAAAAUGUGGAUUCUAGAAGGGAGAGCAAAAACAAAUCAAGAACCAAUCAUUAUGCAAUUUGACAAGUGCUACGACAGAGGUGUAAGUAGAAUACGUGUUAGCCCAGAGGAGUCAGAGAGUACCUCAGCAGGGAAGUUUCCACAGCGAAAGCUGGAUGAGAAGGGGUUUUUAGAAAGUGGCCAUUUCGACCAGGUGCAGUGGCUCAUGCCUGUAAUCCCAGCCCUUUGGAAGGCCAAGGUGGGUGGAUCCCCUGAAAUCGGGAGUUUGAGACCAG
rnacentral:lncRNA from 1 species